GCAGGAGUGGCAGAAUGGUUAUGCGCUCGCCUGCAGAGCGAGUUAAUCGGGUUCAAUUCCCGGCUCCUGCU
rnacentral:tRNA from 3 species